GGAGAGAUGGCAGAGUGGUCGAAUGCGGCGGUCUUGAAAACCGUUGAGGCGCAAGCCUCCGGGGGUUCGAAUCCCUCUCUCUCCGCCA
rnacentral:tRNA from 2 species